GAUGAACGUUGGCGGUGUGCCCAAUACAUGCAAGUCGAACGGAGUUAGUAGCAAUACUGGCUCAGUGGCGAACGGGUGAGUAACGCGUUGGUGAUCUGCCUUGAAGUGUGGAAUAACGUUUCGAAAGGAACGCUAAUACCGCAUGUGCUCUCGAUUUUCAGAAAGUUGAGAGUAAAGGAUUUAUUCGCUUCAAGAGGAGCCUGCGUCCCAUCAGCUGGUUGGUAGGGUAACGGCCUACCAAGGCUAUGACGGGUAGGGGACCUGAGAGGGUGGCCCCCCACAAUGGAACUGAAACACGGUCCAUACACCUACGGGUGGCAGCAGUAGGGAAUAUUAGAAAUGGACGAAAGUCUGAUCUAGCAACACCGCGUGUGCGAAGAAGGCCUUCGGGUCGUAAAGCACUUUUUGGAAGGAAUAGGAAGGAAUGUACUUCCAGAAUAAGUCUCGGCUAACUACGUG
rnacentral:rRNA from 1 species